GACGAAUGCUGGCGGCGUGCUUAACACAUGCAAGUCGAACGGAAAGGCCCUGCUUUUGUGGGGUGCUCGAGUGGCGAACGGGUGAGUAACACGUGAGUAACCUGCCCUUGACUUUGGGAUAACUUCAGGAAACUGGGGCUAAUACCGGAUAGGAGCUCCUGCUGCAUGGUGGGGGUUGGAAAGUUUCGGCGGUUGGGGAUGGACUCGCGGCUUAUCAGCUUGUUGGUGGGGUGGUGGCUUACCAAGGCUUUGACGGGUAGCCGGCCUGAGAGGGUGACCGGCCACAUUGGGACUGAGAUACGGCCCAGACUCCUACGGGAGGCAGCAGUGGGGAAUAUUGCACAAUGGGCGGAAGCCUGAUGCAGCAACGCCGCGUGCGGGAUGACGGCCUUCGGGUUGUAAACCGCUUUCGCCUGUGACGAAGCGUGAGUGACGGUAAUGGGUAAAGAAGCACCGGCUAACUACGUG
rnacentral:rRNA from 1 species